UAGUUGGAUAUUAGCAUAUUUUCUAUAUGAGAUAUGUGUGUUUAUUUCCUUUUAUAUUUGAGGGUUAGGUGUCCAGAGGUGGUGUCUGAAACCUGUAGUGGACAUUAUGGCUGUGUCCGAAAACUGGGAAAAGCAGUCUUUGGAGGACACAUUUCAAGGUGGCGUUGUAUCACCACUACAGAACCCGGAUUUGGAACCUUUACCAACAAGUUGAAGUGACAGCACGCCUGAGCUCACCUGACUAUGGUGGGUGUAGUCUGCUAAGAUGCCACUGCACCUAUAAAAAACACCUAGACUCCGCCUCCAGCAGCAACACAACCAAUCAUCUGUCAACACUCCAUAUAUGGAAAGGUCCUAACCCUUUAAAAAGCAGCUUAAUGAAGCAGUAAAGCGGCUCACAAUCGGAGACUCCAGCUCAAACUGCUCCAGGACUAACAGCCCAGGAGGGGUUUGGUUAAAUGAAGUGUCUUGCAUGGGAACUGAGCCUGUGGGGAGGGGUACCACUACAAUAUUCUUUAUGCAUAUCAGUAAUCAAAGCUGUCAAAGAGCAGUGGAGCAGACGAUGGCUUCAUGCUGCAUUAGAGGGGUGUGUCGAAAGUAGCCCAUGCUGAAUAGAUCUGAGUGUCAGGGCUCAGAUCCAUUCAUAAAGCAGGUUAGAAAUGGAGAAAGAGCCCAUAUAAAACAUAGAAUGGGAGGAAACCUGCUUUACAACUGCGUUCAUGUCAUGUGGGGUAUUGCAGACAGAUGUAGAAUGGUUGUGACUGAAGAAAAACUGACUUCCCUUUAUUUAAAGCAUUUUAACUGCAGGUUAGUAAGAGCAACUAGAUGUUCUUGUCUUAGUGUUACAGAAUGGAACAGCUUUGAAUUUUUUUUGUAUUUUUUAAAGUCCUGACACAUGCUACACUGUGAUAGUAAUGGUACAAGGUUAUAAACUGGGCAGUCUAUAAUUAAUUAUACACAAAAUGUUAUUGAGAAUAAUAUAUGUGAUCUCAUAAAUCAUAUCUCCAGAAAUGUCCAUUGAAUAUUAACCAAAAUAUAUUAAUUAUAAUUUUUGGUUUUAGUUAAAAGGGGUAGUGUACCUAAAAAUUAUAAUCCUGUCAUGAUUUACUCACUAUCAUGUCAUUCCGAAACUUCUUCUCUGAAAUAUCACAGAGGAUAUUUUGAUAAAAAUGUCUGCAAUUUUAUUUAUUUAUUUAUUUAUUUUUUAAUUUGCAGUG